rnacentral:rRNA from 1 species
AUUGAACGCUGGUGGAAUGCUUUACACAUGCAAGUCGAACGGCGGCACGGACUUCGGUCUGGUGGCGAGUGGCGAACGGGUGAGUAAUGUAUCGGAACGUGCCCAGUCGUGGGGGAUAACGUAGUGAAAAUUACGCUAAUACCGCAUACGAUCUAUGGACGAAAGCGGGGGAUCGCAAGACCUCGCGCGAUUGGAGCGGCCUAUGUCCGAUUAGGUAGUUGGUGGGGUAAAGGCUCACCAAGCCAACGAUCUUUAGCGGGUCUGAGAGGACGACCAGCCACACUGGGACUGAGACACGGCCCAGACUCCUACGGGAGGCAGCAGUGGGGAAUUUUGGACAAUGGGCGAAAGCCUGAUCCAGCAAUGCCGCGUGCAGGAAGAAGGCCUUCGGGUUGUAAACUGCUUUUGUACGGAGCGAAAAGGCCCUCUCUAAUACAGGGGGUUUAUGACGGUACCGUAAGAAUAAGCACCGGCUAACUACGUGCCAGCCGCCGCCGUAA